AUUCAUUAGAAAAUGGACAAAAUGAGAUCACAAUUAUUUUUGACCAUUUUUGUUGGACAUAAAUAUGGUCAAAAUGUGAUAUGUUUUCUUGUAGUGUCUCCUUACUCCCAUUAGAAUCGUCAUUUCCCUGACCAGCCAUUGAGCUUGUGGGAUGUUCAUAUGGAACAAUGCGAUCCUCUGCCAUCUGAGAAGCACCACCACAGUCACUUCUCACCU
rnacentral:lncRNA from 1 species